GCAGAAACACAAACACGACGGAAGAUGCAUGCUCACGCGUGGGUAUGUCCCUGAUUUGUCGAAAGAGGUGGGAGCACGUGUCGCUGCUGCCGCGAACACGCUGAGAAAGUACGCGAUAUAUUAGUCUUCGUCGGGCGUACUCGCGAGAUCGGCCGCCGCGCCGAGCCAACAGCGGUUUCAUCGAUCGUUACCAUCCGGAGUUUGCGACUCGUAGAGUCGUAGAUCGGCCGAUUUAUCAUGGCGAGACACACGCCUCUUCAACUCUUAAUACUAUUCGCUUUCGUGAUCGUCAUCGGCCAAUCACGAACAGCUUCACGUGUUGAUGACACCGAUGUUCGUAACAAGUAUGACGUUCAAGUUAGGAAACCGUU